rnacentral:ncRNA from 1 species
AUUAAACCGUUGAUAAGGCUAGUACAGUAAUGUCACUUUUUAGAGAGCAGAUGGUCAUGUGCAAAUCUGCAGGGGGCAUUUUUGGAAUCCACCUUGGAGGGACUGGUAAUGCAGUACGGAGAAGACCGUUAUCUUUUUGAAGGAUAAAGCGCAUCGCUUUAUUGAAGUAGGGUGGCACCACGAGUCAGAUCGUCCCUUGG